UGUGUUCACACGGAUCCACCUUUCCCAUUCCUUCUCUCUCACAACUCAGAUGUCUCGCAAAACUCCAGAUCCUCUCUCUCUCUCUCUCUCUCGCUCUACGACUCAAGAACACCAUGCCAGAUCUCUCAUCAGAUGCCGUUUCAUGACAAGAUCGUUGAAGUGGUUCCGACACCUGAGCUCUGGUGGAGGAGACUAGGGUUUCGGCGAAGAUAAAGCCAUCGGAGGCUGAACCACCGGUGCAGGUAUCAUCUUCAUCAUCUAAACUAUCAUUGUUGGGAACAUGGAUGCCGUUUAUUGUUUACAAUUAGAUCCAUUGGCAGCUAUUGAACCAUCUUUCUUCAAGGUGAGAACAAGUUUAUCCUAUAACUUCUUAUUUUUGUUCCACCAAACAUUCUAUUUUUGUUCCAGCAAACAUUCUUAUACUUGUAAAUUGGAGGUUGAAAACCCAAUUAAUUGAGAUGUACGAUAGAUUACGGGUCGGAGCGGUUGCAGGCGGAACAUAUCCAGCAAUUGGAGUGGAUACAACCUGGUUAAGAAACAGGGCUCGAAGGCGGUAUACCUUCCAUAAAAUGGUCUGGUGUAGAUGGAGAGGAUAAUGUUUUAAUUAUUGAUUUGCUAGGACCGAGUCUUGAGGACCUGUUUGUGUACUGUGGGAGGAAAUUUCAAUUGAAAACAGUCUUGAUGUUGGCUGAUUAAAGGAAUUUCGAAUAUAUACCCUACAAGAGUAAGAAUUUGAAGACUCGAGCCAUUGAUGGGGAAUGAAAUGUAAAGAAGCACUUACAAAUUUUGGCUUUGAUACUGCCUAUAAGGGAUCGGCUGGCUCAUGAGUCAAAACCAUGAGUUAAAGUGUCGUUUGCAAGCUAUGGAACAUAUGUCCAGCUUUGAGAUGGUAGCGGUACAAGCAUGGCAAAGGUUUGGAAGGUCUAAUCAGUGUACAGUGCAACAUGGGAAAGAUAUAUGGGAUGGAUUAAGCAAAGUGGAGCUUCCUGUGGGCUGCAGUCCUCCCUUAAGAAUGUUUGGUCUUUUUAUUCACAGAGGAAGUUGGCUUGUGCUGAACAGAAUGAUUUGAUUCACGCAUGGGGCAUCGAUUUUCAACUCGGCUAUUGUGCUCAGGCAAGU